ensembl:snRNA U1 U1 spliceosomal RNA
AUACUUACCUGGCAGGGGAGAUACCGUGAUCACGAAGAUGGUUUUCCCAAGGCGAGGCAUAUCCAUUGCACUCCAGACGAGAUGACCUCUGUGAUUUCCCCAAAUGUGGGAAACUCAACUGCAUAAUUUGUGGUAGUUGGGGACUGUGUUCACACUCUCCCCUG